rnacentral:rRNA from 1 species
UACGUAGGGCGCGAGCGUUGUCCGGAUUUAUUGGGCGUAAAGAGCUCGUAGGCGGCUUGUUACGUCGUUCGUGAAAACUUGGGGCUCAACCCCAAGCUUGCGGUCGAUACGGGCAGGCUAGAGUUCGGUAGGGGAGACUGGAAUUCCUGGUGUAGCGGUGAAAUGCGCAGAUACCAGGAGGAACACCGGUGGCGAAGGCGGGUCUCUGGGCCGAUACUGACGCUGAGGAGCGAAAGCGUGGGGAGCGAACAGG